CACUCAGAAACAUAUAUGCACACACACACACACACACACACACACACACACACACACACACACAUUAAUUAAGACCUUAUGCAGAACGAUGUGGAAAUCUGGAAGGAGAGCCGUGGUCCAGUCCUGUGCUGUGUUUGUGCUGAGUUUCAGGCUUGGAUUUACUGUUUCUUCCCACUUGGCUGACGGUCUUGACACCUUGGUCAGUCUAUGAACAGUGUGGACAAUUCCAGCUUCAUACCCACAUAUUACAGAGUUCACAGGCUACAGAUACCUUGUGUGUGUGGGUAUGUGAUUGUGUACGCAUGUGUGUGUACAUUACAAGAGACUGGGCCUUCCAUGUGCUCAGUGGGUGCUCUACAAAUAAGCGGUCUUCAACUGCUAGGCCUUUUAUUCAUUUUAAAUUUGACACAGGGUCUUGACCUUAAAAUUUGACCUUGAACUCACUCUGUAGCUCAAGCAUUCUGUCAGCUUCAGCCUCCAAAAGGGGUAGGAUUGCAAACCUGUGCCUACACACUCACCUUACAGAUAGAUUUUUAAAAGAGUUUUUAUUUAUAUGAAUGUAGUGUGUGUGUGUGUGUGUGUGUGUGUGUGUGUGUGUGUGUGUGUGCGCGUGCGCGGGUGCCGAAGAGGGACAUUAGAUAUCCUGGAGUUGGCAUUACAGGAAGUUGUAUCCAUGAGUGCUGGGCACCAAACUAUUGUCCUCUAGAAGAACAAUAAGCAUUCUUAACUGCCGAUCCAUCUCUCCAGCCGCCUCACAAAUACAUUUUGAGGGCCCACUGUGUGUGUGUGGUCUUUUUUUUUUUGCAUCCCUGCCAUAAAAUGCCUGACAUAAAUCAUUCAUGGGAAGGACGAUUUAUUUUGGCCCAAGGUUUCAGAGUUCUACAAUUCUUGGUCUCCUUUACCCUGAGCCCAAGGCGAUGCCAGGCUCAUGUGGCAUAGAUUAAUCACCUCAUGGUAGAUGGGCAGCAGAGAGAGAAGGUCGGGGAGCAGAAUAAGAUAUCCUAGUGAACCUGCCCCUAGUGACCUACUUCCUGUCGCUAGGCUCCAUCUUCUAACGCUCCUAGUCCCUUCGCACUCAGCAUUGGCAGCAGUGAGCAAGCUUCUGCACACGAGCCUUCAGUGGAGAAACUUCAUAUCCAACCCUAAUGCUGGACAAGAGGGUGAGUACAUUUCUUAUAGCACUCGGUUCUUGGCUUUAUUCAUCCUGGAUUAGUAAUAAAUUUGGAUGAACUCUCAGUCUUGUUGGAAAUGAUUGAUCUAGUUUUUUUUUUUUUUUUAAAGAAGGGCACCAAGCCCAAUCUGUAGGUUAAGUUCGUUAUAAUGAGUGUUGGAAACUAACUCGUGCAUGCCCCAGUGUGUGUGUGUGUGUGAGGGCAUGUGUCCAAGUGCGUGUGCACAUCUAACGGCAUUCCCAAAGAGCAAGCUGGUUUUGAUGUUACCCUAUUGUCCAGGAGCAGAAAUGCUAUGUGGCUCUGCAGGAUGAACCUAGGGCCACUGCUAGCACCACCGCCGCUGAGCUGCAUGCUCACAUUUGUUUAUCUUAUGGACCCAGAGUCAGCUGAAUGGCCUCAUCCUGGACUCUGCUAGGGAACGUAGCCAUCAUUCUACACAGUGAUGGUGAUGUCACUGGGAUGGAGAAGAGAUCCCAGAGGUGUCCUCCUGGGUAACGGUGUGUGUGAACACAGAGCCAAGGCAUGGUGCCACAGAACAAGAGAAGCUGUCCCUGUGCACAUGUCAGAGACCUGGGACUCCUUUCCCAAGAUGAGAACUGACAAGCCCUCUGCAAACAAGGGCUGUAGCCUCCUCACGAAGCCACAGAAGGUGAGCCCCUGCUCUCCGUGUCCCCCUCAACUGCUCCAAGGGGUUCCCCCCAGUACACCUGCCACCCACCUCACAGGUGAGCCGUUCCGCUUCCAAACGAUGACUGCUACCUGUACUGAACGCCCUGAAAGGAAGAAUGAUGCCGGCUAUAAAUACAGAGGGAAAUCUAUUUGUCUGCCCCUUCACGCUGUUAGCCAGUCACAUGCCGAGGCCCUUUGGUGAUUCUGCGGCAGCAGAGGGAGUUCUCUGCGGCCACCUUCCCCUUUGCCAGGCUGGCCCGGAUGGAAGCGCAUCAUCUCUCUUUGUCAUAUGAGAUAAAGCAUUGAAGUGUGACCACUGCCACCGCCUUGCUCCCUGCCCACCAGGGGGACGCUAAUGAUACUGAAAAAGUAGACGACGUUGCGUUCAGAGCAGAAGGCACAGCAAAGGCUGUCUGUCGGCCGGCUGGGCCGGAUAACAGUUAACGUCAGCAAAGAUAAAUAGAAAUUAUUACAAUGGCUUUGGAAGGGAUUUUUUAUAGGGCAGGGUUGUGUUCGUUUAAAGAUACAUUAUUGGACUGUUAUAUCUGAUUUCAAGCUGCUGGGUAAUUAAAAUGAUUAACAUGCCUUACUCAUAGAGUUCAAUUCAUUAAAGUUUUAAGCACCCUUUGUGCUCAGAAGGGAAGGAGAGAACAUCCACGUUGACUCAUGCCGGGAGCCACUCAUGCGGCCCUCUGGUUAUUUUCUCUGAUCUCUGGAGCCGUAGUGUCUCUUUCUAAGCAGUGGGGUGUGUUGGAUAGAAUGUGCGGGCCUUAAAUACUCAUCCUAGAGGUUCCCUUUUUGGAGGAGGAGGAGGAAGCAGAAGAUGAGGAAGAAGAGGAAGAGGAAGAAGAGGAGGCAGAGGA